rnacentral:rRNA from 1 species
AUUGAACGCUGGCGGCAGGCCUAACACAUGCAAGUCGAGCGGAUGAAGGGAGCUUGCUCCUGGAUUCAUCGGCGGACGGGUGAGUAAUGCCUAUGAAUCUGCCUUGUAGUGGGGGAUAACGUCCUGAUACGGGCUCUAAUACCGCAUCCGUCCUGUUGUAGCCAUUGGGUGAUCUUCGGACCUCACGCUAUCUUAUUAGCCUAGGUCGGAUUAGCUAGUUGGUGGGGUAACUGCCUACCAAGGCGACGAUCCGUAACUGGUCUGAGAGGAUGAUCAGUCACAUGGGAAGUGAGACACGGCACAGACUCCGAGGGGAGGCAGCAGUGGGGAAUAUUAGGCAAGGGGCGAAAGCCGGAUACAGGAAAGCCGCGGGUGGGCAGAAGGACUAAGGAUUGUAAAGCAAUUUAAGUUGGGAGGAAGGGCAGUAAGUUAAUACCUUACUGUAUUGACGGUACCAACAGAAUAAGCGCCGGCUAACUUCGUG